AGUAAGAGAUGGAGGGGGUGACUAGUGACAGAGUGAGGGAGGUGGUGACUAGUGAGGGAGGUGGUGACUAGUGACAGUCACCACCUCCCUCACUCUGUCACUAGUCACCCGUUUAUUCCCUCACUCU
rnacentral:miRNA from 1 species